GAUGAACGCUGGCGGCGUGCCUAAUACAUGCAAGUCGAGCGAACGGACGAGAAGCUUGCUUCUCUGAUGUUAGCGGCGGACGGGUGAGUAACACGUGGAUAACCUACCUAUAAGACUGGGAUAACUUCGGGAAACCGGAGCUAAUACCGGAUAAUAUUUUGAACCGCAUGGUUCAAAAGUGAAAGACGGUCUUGCUGUCACCUAUAGAUGGAUCCGCGCUGCAUUAGCUAGUUGGUAAGGUAACGGCUUACCAAGGCAACGAUGCAUAGCCGACCUGAGAGGGUGAUCGGCCACACUGGAACUGAGACACGGUCCAGACUCCUACGGGAGGCAGCAGUAGGGAAUCUUCCGCAAUGGGCGAAAGCCUGACGGAGCAAUGCCGCGUGAGUGAUGAAGGUCUUCGGAUCGUAAAACUCUGUUAUUAGGGAAGAACAUAUGUGUAAGUAACUGUGCACAUCUUGACGGUACCUAAUCAGAAAGCCACGGCUAACUACGUG
rnacentral:rRNA from 1 species